CUGGAGGAGGAGAAAGUGGAGGAAGCAGCUGAGCCUGGAGGGAUGGGGUCACUACCUUUAAAGCAUCUGUCAGCCAUGGGGAUCUGAUGGUUUUUUUAUUUUUUAUUUUUUAUUUUUAUUAUUAUUAUUAUUUUUUUACAAACCCUUGUGUGGAGAUCUGACUUUCAAUAGAUCGCAGCGAGGGAGCUGCUCUGCUACGUACGAAACCCCGACCCAGAAGCAAGUCGUCUACGAAUGGUUUAGCGCCAGGUUCCCCACGAACGUGCGUUGCGUGACGGGCGAGAGGGCGGCCGCCUUUCCGGCCGCGCCCCGUUUCCCAGGACAAAGGGCACUCCGCACCGGACCCUGGUCCCAGCGCGGGGCGGGGCGGCCCGCCGGCGGGGACCGGCUAUCCGAGGCGUUCAGUCAUAAUCCCACAGAUGGUAGCUUCGCCCCAUUGGCUCCUCAGCCAAU
rnacentral:lncRNA from 10 species